rnacentral:rRNA from 1 species
CACGUAGGGGGCGAGCGUUGUCCGGAAUUAUUGGGCGUAAAGAGCUCGUAGGCGGUUUGUCACGUCUGCUGUGAAAUCCCGAGGCUCAACCUCGGGCCUGCAGUGGGUACGGGCAGACUGGAGUGCGGUAGGGGAGAAUGGAAUUCCUGGUGUAGCGGUGGAAUGCGCAGAUACCAGGAGGAACACCGAUGGCGAAGGCAGUUCUCUGGGCCGUAACUGACGCUGAGGAGCGAAAGCGUGGGGAGCGAACAGG